rnacentral:rRNA from 1 species
AUCAUGGAGAGUUUGAUCCUGGCUCAGAACGAACGCUGGCGGCGCGUCUAAAGCAUGCAAGUCGGGCGGCAAGGCGCAGCAAUGCGCCCCAGAGCGGCGGACUGGUGAGGAAC